rnacentral:rRNA from 1 species
UUGCAGCUCAACUGUAGAAUUGCCUUUGAUACUGGAGCUCUUGAGCUAUGUUGCUGUGGCCGGAACAUGUGGUGUAGCGGUGAAAUGCAUAGAUAUCACAUAGAACACCGAUUGAGAAGGCAGGUCACAAAGCAUAGACUGACUCUGAGGGACGAAAGCGUGGGGAGCGAACGGGAUUAGAUACCCCGGUAGUCCACGCCGUAAACGAUGGAUACUAGCUGUUGGGUUUUCGGACUCGGCGGCCAAGCGAAAGUGAUAAGUAUCCCACCUGGGGAGUACGUUCGCAAGAAUGAAACUCAAAGGAAUUGACGGGGGCCCGCACAAGCGGUGGAGCAUGUGGUUUAAUUCGAUGAUACGCGAGGAACCUUACCAGGGCUUAAAUGGGAGAUGACCGGGUCAGAGACGACCCUUUCUUCGGACAUCUUUCAAGGUGCUGCAUGGUUGUCGUCAGCUCGUGCCGUGAGGUGUCAGGUUAAGUCCUAUAACGAGCGCAACCCCUGCCGUUAGUUGCCAGCGAGUCAAGUCGGGGACUCUAACGGGACUGCCGGUGCAAACCGAGAGGAAGGUGGGGACGACGUCAAAUCAUCACGGCCCUUACGUCCUGGGCUACACACGUGCUACAAUGGUCGGUACAAUGGGAAGCCACCCCGUGAGGGGGCGCGGAUCUUAAAAGCCGAUCACAGUUCGGAUUCGGGGUCUGCAAC